GCCAAGGACCACAGACUAAAGCCAUCAUUGUUGCAAUGCCUGGAUCCAGCUCUACUCAUUUAAGGAACACAGACAGCCACAAGACAAGUCAAAGUGCCUCCAAGACAUCAUCAAACAAUGAAUCAGACAAUCAGGAGCCAGAUGAGAUGUUAGAGUCUGAUACUCAGACCACAACUCAAGCACCACCCACCAACAGACGAGGACGCCCUCUUUCUCAAACAAGGUCCUAUCACAGCAUCUUCUCCUCUGUGAGGGGUUCUGUCAGAAACGGAGGUUCUAGCUCAAGGUCAAACUCACAUUCAUCCUCCACUCAUGCCAAAGAUAGAGAAGGAAAUACAAAUGAGGAAGAGAAGCCAACAGACAGUCCAACAGAAGAGAAAAUCAGAGCAAAUGAGGCUAUCGAGGACACAAAACCAGAGAGCCAUAAUAAUGCAUCACCACAAACAGAGGAGCAUUCAAAAUACUCACCUGACACUAAAGAAUCAAAACCCAAUCAGUCUGAAUCUGUCCAUAAAACAUCAGAGGACAAACGUCCUUCUUGGACCCCUCGCACAUCCUCAAUUGUUGAUAUUAGCAGAUUAAGAAGGCCUAAUUCUCGAUCAAGAAUGCGGAGUGAAGAUUCUUCAGAUUUGUCGCAAAACCAAGAGUCUGCAACUACAAGAAAGAACCUAACAGCAGUCUCCUAUCCUGAGGGAAAGAACUCGUACAAACAGAUAAGUGUCACAGACAGGACACCUUCAGUGAUCUCACCUCAGGAAACCAUCCCUGAACCAGUGAAAAAAUCAGAAUCAGAAUCAUCCUCAUCUAUCUCUUCUUCUCCAGCUUCCUCUUCCACCUCAUCUUCUUCAGUAUCUUCUCCUUCAUCAUCCUUACCAUCAUCAGGUACAAGAAGGAUUUCCUCCACUUCAGGUCGAGUCACAAGUUCAGGAUCUGGUGCCAUGUACCCUAAUGGAAGAAGAGUUGGAAUUUCAAUCAGAGCUCAGAGACUUCUAACAGGAAAGCACAAACUUGAUUCAUCAUCAACAUCUGCUUCUUCACAGUCCACACUGCCAAUGGGAACCAGGACAAACAGUCACGAUGCAACAGAGGAGCAUGAUGCCAAACACAAGAACACGGAGCUAGAUGACACAAAGGGUGAACAACCAACUUCAGAACCCAAAAAAACCCUUUCUGAUACAACUGAAGAGGAACACCCAGAAAAAAAGGAAAAUGAUAACAAAGAAGAGAAAAGCAAUAGUUAUGGUUCCACUUCCCAUUCUUCUUCAAAGAAUAACCCUUCUACAAAAGGAAGAAGUUUACCCCUUUCAUUACCAAAACAAAAUUCUAGGAUAGUUACAGGGAGUCGCAGACAAGAUGGAAGAAUACCGUGGAGUAGGACUGCCUCAUCUAUAGGUGCAGGAAGGCCAGUUAUUACAGGAUUUCCUUCUCGUUCUACUGCUGUGGGCUCUCAAGACACUAGCGAUAAAACUAAAAUUUCACCCACAACAUAUCCUUCAAAGCAUGAGGUUAAUCCUGUCUCAUAUAAACCUAGUGUGCUAAAUAAAGAAACAAAUGUUGCAAUAAGUUCCAAAAAUCCCAGUAAUAAUGAAGAUGUAA
ensembl:lncRNA